rnacentral:rRNA from 1 species
UACGAAGGGGGCUAGCGUUGCUCGGAAUUACUGGGCGUAAAGCGCACGUAGGCGGCUUGUUAAGUCGGAGGUGAAAUCCUGGAGCUCAACUCCAGAACUGCCUUCGAUACUGGCGAGCUUGAGUUCGGGAGAGGUGAGUGGAACUGCGAGUGUAGAGGUGAAAUUCGUAGAUAUUCGCAAGAACACCAAUUGCGAAGGCAGCUCGCUGGGACGUUACUGACGCUGAGACGCGAAAGCGUGGGGAGCAAACAGG